CCCCCAGGAGCUUGGGGCUGUGGAGGAGCAGGGUGAUCUCUGUGAGGUGAGCCUGGCCGACAGCGUGGAGCCUGCACCGGGAGAGGCCAGGGAGGGUUCUCCCUGUGGCAACCCCACCGCACAGAAGAUCGUGCAGCUGUUUCCUGUAACGCAGGACACCCAGGAGCACCCAGGCUUGGCCAGCAAACCCUGCGUCCCAUUCUUUUACCGGGCAGUGGAGAACAGGGAGAUAAACAUCAUCAUCAUCUGAGAGCUGGUCAAGAAAUUGAAAACAACAACAACAACAACAACAACAAAAAGUUAUGGGGUUAAUCCCCUACACAAUUCAUUUACUUCAUUUGAAUGUUACAGCCCCUCAUGUUUAUUUGUGUUGCUAAUUUACAGUUUAAAUUUAUUUCUAAAAAGUUAA